GAUGAACGCUGGCGGCGUGCCUAAUACAUGCAAGUCGAGCGAACAGACGAGGAGCUUGCUCCUCUGACGUUAGCGGCGGACGGGUGAGUAACACGUGGAUAACCUACCUAUAAGACUGGGAUAACUUCGGGAAACCGGAGCUAAUACCGGAUAAUAUAUUGAACCGCAUGGUUCAAUAGUGAAAGACGGUUUUGCUGUCACUUAUAGAUGGAUCCGCGCCGCAUUAGCUAGUUGGUAAGGUAACGGCUUACCAAGGCAACGAUGCGUAGCCGACCUGAGAGGGUCGUCGGCUACACAUGAACGGAGAGACGGUCCCGACCCCUACGGGAGGCGGCAGUCGCGAAUCUGCCGCAAUGGGCGAAAGCUUGACGGAGCAACGCGCGGUGAGUGAUGAGGGUCUUCGGAUCAUAAAACUCUGCUAUUAGGGAAGAACAAAUGUGUAAGUAACUAUGAACGGGUUGACGGUACCUAGUCAGAAAGCCACGGCUAACUACGUG
rnacentral:rRNA from 1 species